GCGUCCUCAUUUUGCGUCACAGAGUCGCUCCGGAAGUGAGGUUUGCUAGUCGCCAGUCGCGACGGUAACCAAGGGAACCGGUAAACAGGGAGGGCGGCAGAGCUGUUGGUGUCGCCGCUGGCGGGAAAGCGACGCGACACGGUUUACACUAAGGACAUGGUGACUGACUUUGAUGAGAAGCAUGAUGAAUAUUUAAUAUUACUUCAACAAAGAAACCGGAUAUUGAGACAUUUGAAAAGAAAGGACCCCAUGCAAAUCAAACUAGAGCAUUUAGAACAAGGAUUUUCUCUGUAUCUAAAUGGAGCUAAUUCAGAGUCAAGAAACUGUCGCAGAAAACCCAGUUUUCAAGAAUUCUUUAGAUGUGGGUUGCAGACUGCAAGGAUAAAUGAUUCUGGUACAGCAGCCCAAGUAAAAGAAAUUGAACUGCAAGGACGCAGCACGCAGACUGCACCAAGCAAAAUCCAGCGUAAAGGAUGGCGUCAGAAACCUGUGCUGAUUAAAACAGAAAGUGGUUCUAGACUCUGCAUUUCACCUCCUUUGGAGUACUCUGAUGAUUUUGAACCUUAUGAAAGCUUGAAUAUGGAGACAAACGACUAUCAUAUUAAUUGUUCCCAGAAUCUCAAGUCUCCCAAAAGCAGUCCUGUCAGUGACUUUAAAUUCACCACCCGGAACCCAGAACUCCAAGUACACGGCGAUGUGGAAAAGGAAAGAAUACUUUUAAGUAUUGAUGAUGUAAAGGAAUUGAGAAGAAGUUUGGAACUCAGUGUAAGUCAGAAAAGGAUGGAGAAGGAAAGUUCUAGUGAUGACUAUGACUCUGUUGAGGAGGAUGUGCUUUUGGAGCACUCUCAGGUGGAAGAGACAGUUGCAAGUUUUGGAAGCCUCCAGUUGCCCAGUGGUGAGUCAUUACUGAAGGAUGUUCCCAAGUAUCAGGAGGCUGGAAGAUGCUGUGACCUUGAUGCUGGUGCUCUCGUGCUGGAAUUUAAGCAGAAUCCAACAAAUAUGAAACAGGAACGAAUUCUGUCUGCAAAGAGGAAAGAUGCUGCUGAAACCUACAUUCCAAUCAGACCUAUGAAGGUCAGAAGUAAAAUGGCUCGUCCACUUUCUGCUGGACCCCUGCACCAGGAGGGACAUGAAAGAACCUGCUCCCGACCAGUAAGUCGACCAGAAAAGCCACUGUCAGCAACUCGAAGGAAUGUGUGUGAGAAGAAGGAUCCUGAGCAAUCUGCUUCUGCUGUCAUUAAAGCUAUGCAAGUUGAAAAUGAGAUCUUGCAAAGAGAGAUGCUUUGCAGAAGGCUGGAGACUUCUACCAGCCAUCAAAUGGUAUGCCAAAGUACUGACCUGGGACAAGAGAGAUCCAAGCUGCCUUCUGUUUCAAUUUCAUCUAUUUCUGAAACAACUGAGCCUUCAGAAAAACAACAGGAAACAACUGUAGUCACAGAAGCCAUUGAAAGAAUUGGCCAUUUGGGAAGCAGGCAACAGAGGAAACUUUUGAAACUCCUGCAGGAAAUUGAGAGCUGUUCUACCUGCCACAGUCACGAAGUCCUACCUACUGAGGAACCGGAGCCAGAUUCUGUGGAUCAGCUGCAAACAAAGGCAGAAGUACAAGAUGCCAUUUAUGUGACUAUGGAAAUCCUCUCCAAUUGGGGGAAUGCAGUCAAUGUGGGCUUGACAGAGGUGGAAUUCUUUGAUUUACAUGCUGUCCGGAUGUUUGUGUCUCCUCAUGACGUGGACAUCCGAAAUGCUGACUCUCCAGGGGAUCUCUCUUGCCUGGUCAAUAGAAGCCUGAAUAGCACCAAGGAGCGCUUCCUGUGGACGUGCCCUUUCCAUGCACCAGUUCAGCUUUACUUUGUUAUCCGCAAUCCCAGCUGGUCACGUGACUUUGGUAUAUCUAAGAUCAAGAUUUGGAAUUACAACACGACGACUCUUAGUGAUCUUGACAUAGGUGCAAAGAAUGUGAAACUAUAUAUUGAUGAGAACCUUGUAUUCAGUGGUCAGUUAGAAAAAGGCUGUGGAGAUCUAACCACUGAUUUCAGCACUACAAUCAACCUUAAAGACAAUAGACAAGAGAUUGCUGCACAUUCUACACAAGGAAGAAAACAAUCAAAUGGAGCUAAUAGCACAGGCAAUAAGGAGGACCUGUACUUAAAAUAUCCACAGCCAGACUGGGCUUCAUUACACUGGAAAUCUUCCUUAGAAGAAAAUCUCCCUGAGGAAAUGAUGAAUUCCAUCAACUUUAGGAAAGAGAAAUUGACUAGAUUAGAAGAAGAUCUGAAGGUGUUAUCAGCUCCUGUGUCUACGAAGGCUCUCAAGAAUGACGUGUCAGAAUCAGCAGUUGUGGAAUACAUUCAGUCUGAUGAUGAGCUUACUAUGAGUGAGCAAAUGGAAAAACUAACCAGAAAAAAAUUAUCUGAAUCUACAGGUGUAACUCCAUCUUGGUUACAGUCCUCUUCCCAAGUGACAGAGAAGUACCAUAAACAGAAACCCUCCUGGCUGGAUACAAAGCACCCUUUAGAUUUGAGAGUUCAAGAGCAGUCUGAUGGCACCAUGAGGGGCUGUCCAGGACUAACUGAUGAGACUAUCAAAUGUCACGGAAGUGAAAUGGGGAGAUCCAACAGUAGGAAUGCAGAUGGAGAUGAGAAGACACAAAUGGUAACCAGUAAAGGCUGUACUAUUAACUUGGACAUUUUAGACCAGCUUCCCAACAAGUAUUGCUGCACCCCUGAAUGUCCUGCUAGUGGGAGGAGAAGCAGCAGAGGUGUAAGAAAGGAGGGUUUAUGUACAAGUCAUGGAGAUGAAGGUCUGACACACACAGAUGAAGCCCUUUGUGUCAAAGGCCUAAAAAACUUCAGAGCCGGGUGGCACAGUGAACAAGAACACACUCUGCAGGAGUCAUGGAACUCCCUUCUAAAGUUCAAUUAUUCUCACCGUGGGCGAAUCUCCAACAUGGAUUUUCAAGGGGAUAUCUUUGAUGAGUUUCUACAUCAGCAAAAAAUCAGCCGGCAUGGAGAACAUCAGCUUGUGAGGAAAGAAGGAAUACAAGUGCUACCAAAAAGACAAGAAGAAAAUUACAUGGAGACAGAUGAUGGAAAUGAUUUUAAAAUCCCUGUUUUGCCAUAUGGACAGUACUUAAUAAUAGACAUUAAAUCCACAUGGGGAGACAGACACUACGUUGGUCUUAAUGGAAUUGAAGUUUUUAGUUCCAAAGGAGAGCCUGUUCAGAUUUCAAAGAUAAAAGCUGAGCCACCUGAUAUAAAUAUUUUACCAGCCUAUGGCAAAGAUCCAAGAGUAAUAACCAAUCUAACUGAUGGGGUAAAUCGGACACAGGAUGACAUGCACCUUUGGCUAGCACCCUUUACUCCUGGGAAGCCUCACCUUAUCUAUAUUGACUUUGUGAAUCCCUGUCAAGUAGCUAUGAUUAGGAUUUGGAAUUAUAAUAAAUCCCGAAUACACUCCUUCCGAGGUGUGAAGGAUAUUACAAUGCUAUUAGAUGAGCAGUGCAUCUUUAAAGGAGAAAUUGCAAAGGCUUCAGGAACAUUGUCUGGAGCUCCAGAGCACUUUGGGGAUACUAUAUUGUUCACGACUGAUGAUGAUAUUCUAGAGGCCAUAUUCUGCUAUGAUGAGACUUAUGAUGGAGAAAUUGAAAAUGUGUGCUCGCUAAGAUAUGAGGAAGAGCUAAAGAGACCAAGGACUGCUGAUGGGGAGGGAGAUGAGAGACCUUUCACACAAGCAGGCUUAAGGACAGAUGAUAAGCAGGUUCAAGAGCAAGUGAUGGUGUCAGACCAUCUUUCUGAGCUUACACCUAAGCUCCCCGGGGUAUACACUGGACAAUGUCUGCAGCUAAAUUUCACCUUAUCCUGGGGAGACUCACAUUAUCUUGGACUGACUGGACUUGAAGUAGUAGGAAAGGACGGUCAGGCUUUACCAAUUACUAUGGCUCAGAUUUCUGCUUCACCACAGGAUUUAAAUGACCUUGCAGAGUACAUGGAAGAUUCCAGAACAUUAGACAAGUUAAUAGAUGGGACUAACAUCACUGUUGAAGAUAAUCAUAUGUGGCUUAUUCCUUUCACUUAUGGGGAAGAUCACAUGAUCACAAUCCAUUUUGAUAAAGCUGAAAAUAUUGCAGGGCUUCGCUUUUGGAACUAUAAUAAAUCUCCAGAGGAUACCUAUAGAGGGGCUAAGGUUGUCCAUGUCUCGCUGGAUGGACAUUGUAUCUCCCCAACAGAGGGCUUUCUUAUCCGAAAGGGACCAGGCAACUGUCACUUUGACUUUGCUCAAGAAAUUCUCUUCGUUGACUACUUGAAGCCCCAACAGAUUAUCAGACCAUAUGGCAGAAUUAAUGCAAGGGGGAUGGAACAAGCUAGUAUGGACUAUGAAGCACCAUUGAUGCCAUGUGGUUUUAUUUUCCAGUUUCAGCUUCUAACGAGCUGGGGUGAUCCAUACUAUAUUGGUUUGAAUGGACUAGAGUUGUAUAACGAACAUGGAGAGAAAAUCUUACUCACUGAAAACAGCCUUAAGGAUUUUGCCUUGGAUGUCUGCAAGUAUCCAGCCUUUGUGCCUUCCAAUUUCAAGAAGUCUGAUAGGACGUACCAGGACCUGCAACAGGAUUUAAAUAUUUUUCUUUCCCCUGCCCCGUUCUGAGGACUGUGCAGAUGUUUGCCUCUGCAGAUAGACCUCUGUAGUUUCCCUCCCUCCAUCCCCCAGUGCAAUAAAGCAUCUAGAAGUUUGUGUAUUUUAUUGGGAAAAGUGUACUCACUUGCUUGGCUCCUUGAGUGACAUUCGCCUCCGAGCUCAAGGCGUUUGCAUCACUAAAGUCCCACUUAAACCCUCUCAACUACAAUGAAUCAAAUUGAUUUGAAUAUAAAUUGCCUAAUGUUCCUCUUCCCUCUAAUCUCUGUCAGCUUGCCUGCCAGCCCCUAGAUUGUGAGCUCUUCAGAGGAGGGACUAUCCUUGAGUGUUUGGAAAGUGUCUAGCACACAGUGGGUACUAUCAUAAAUAAAUGAAUGAUAAGUACAACUAAGCCCGUCAGAAUCAUCUGGCUCUUUGUGGAGAUGUCCAAGGGGAAAACAAUAACUGUUGAAGGCUAUGAAAAUGGACUGCCAAUACCAGACAGACCAGUAGUGCCUCAGAAGGGACUAAGCCCCACCAAUUAAAUCAUCCCCUCUUUAUAUUUUUGGAGUUGCCAAAUAUCCAUCCUUUCUCCCCUUUCUUUCCCAGUGCAGCUCCAUGGAGAGCAGUCCAGAGGGGCUGCUGACAUUUAGCCCCUGCAGUGCAGCUGUCCGGGGAGGAAGAGGUUGAUGGAAGUGGUUGCCUCUAGCUCCUAAGAGAACUCCUUCCAGUGAAAGUAUUGAACAGUGCAGAGACCAGCACAUGUUCACAGGCUGCCUUUUCAAUUCCCUUUGAGGCUAAAGAAGUGUCUGAACACAGCCUCAGUAUAGAGCUCCGUGCCUUCCUUAGGUGCUGUGGCAGUGGGAAAGGGAAGCAGAGCUGUCCAGUGUCCUGCAAAUUUAAACAGGAGCAGAGGCAGCAAGUGCGUAGGAAGAGGGAAAUGGAUGGUUAGCAGCCCAGUGGUGAAGGGCUGGGCCUCUCACGCAGCAUCGGCGCCUAGCAGGGAGAUUCGGGAGCUCAGUGAGGGAUGGCCUUUGGCUUGUCAGGUCUGACAGUGGCAGCUGAGUGGCUUCUUUUCAGGAGAGGGGAGGGAGGGAGCUAAGGUGGGGCCUUUUGCCUAUGUCCUUGUUGGGAGGAAUGGUAAAGAGCAGGAAGGGGGAAGGCACAGAGUGACUGGAGCUCCACCAUUUGCUUUGGGCACCAGCUGCCACUGAGGGGGACUUGGAGAGAGAGAAGAGACAGGCUGGUUACCUCAAUGACUUCCCUCUGUAAUGUUUCCAUUAUGGCAAUAUGUAAAGCUGGUACUUGGCAUUUGAACCAUGCCUGAUGAAGCAUUCCUCUUUCCAUUGAGAUGCCAGUUUGAUUACUGAUUUGAGAGAGUAGUGCUUCAGUUUUUGUUUAAUUAAAUCUCCUUAGCCCUCCCUCUGUAGCUGUCUACUGCUUGCUAAUCUCCCUAAUAACUGGGAGUUAGCAAAACCCAUUUCAUGAUAGUAAAAGGAAAAUAACUCACCAGUAGCUGGAGUUCCCCUAAUAUAUAUGUAUCUGUGUACAUCCACAUAGCUCUUUCCUCCUUCCCCUCUUCUUUGGAGGGUGGUUAGUGUCAGGAAGAGGAAGCAAGCUGAUCCUGCGGGGUGUGAAAAGGGCAGUCUCUGUAAUGGAAUCUGUUGGAAUGCUGGACCAAAUCUUUGGAAUGCAUGUGCCUCCUAAUGGCCAGGCUGCUUUGAACUGUUCCAGGGACCCACCAAAGCAAGUGUGCCCCUCUUUAACUGGAGAUCUGCAACACAUUCAGCAAACUUCUCUUCUCUGUUAAAUAAUCUUCCUUUUUUCUUUACGCCUUUUAUUUAAUCAGGCAAAGUAGUUCUGUCUUGGGGUAAGAUAGAUAUUUGGUUGGUCGGAAUGAUUCAUUUCUCCAUCUCUGAUAGCUGUUUUACUAUUAAUAUAUAUGAAUAGCCAGCAAAUUAAUUAUUGUACCUGAAUGUAACUGUCACAAGGCAGAGUCUAUGCUGGGUGGAGGGAAGGGCAGGGGGCUUGGCUGGCUUGGUUUUUCUCAACUGCAGGACAGAUCAGAUAUUCUACUAAACUGCACCAGAUGUAGCCAGUCCAAGAAUCAAGGCAACACAAAUGUGGCUUAAAAGCCACUGUUGAGCCACCUUGGGCCCAACCACCCCCAUUAACCUGGCCCAUUGUCUUCAGUGGAGUACUUCCUAUCUUUAAUUGUGUAGCUGAGAGCAGAAUCAGUCCCCUGAGCUCCCAGGUAAAUUAGAAAGCUGAGCCAGUAUAUUAAAUACCACCAUUAAUCUUCUCACAGGCAAGGCAGUGUCAGAUCUAUAUUUCAGGUGGAUUCAGAAAAUAAAAAACUCAGUGUCAGCAUCUGGCAACCUAAAGUUACAGAAACCAGAUUUACAGUAGUAUAUACUUAAUUGCCGCCUUAGAAAGCAUAUUAAAACCCCAAGAAUGUUAGUAAAGACCCCUGAGGCAUGACAACACCAUUCCUUCUUAAAGAUAAUCAGAAAUACUGUUUCUUUAAAGAGAUUGUCCUGGAAAAGUUAGCUCUCCCUGUGGAGAAUGUAUUCAUGGAACCAAACUCUCCCUGAAGCCCAAAGAUAGAAUCCUAGCAAGAAAUAAGAGUAGAACAAUAUAUUGAAAACAUAGAAUAUUAUUAUUUUCAACUUUUAAAAAUACGCUUGCAUACUCCUGAGGUCAGUGAACUGCUUCAGAACGUGUGGCAAGGCUUAUCCAUGGUCUAUUGCUAAACUUACCUGAAUUACAGUAGUGCUGAGGAGGUCCCAGUCAUGGAUCAGAACCCUGUGGUGCUAGGUGCUGUACAAACACAGAACACAGGGACAGUCCCUACCCCAAAGAGCUUACAGUCUGAAUAUGAGACGAGACAACAGGCUGACGCAACCAACAGAGGGGGAGCACACGGAAGCAAUGUGACGAUCCUAGCCAGCUAUGUUAAGUUUUUAGUCAGCCUCAGGGCAAAGCGGAGUUUUAAGGGAUCUGAAAGAGGACAAUGAGGUAGCAUUACAAAUGUUAUGAGGAGUAGUUCCUGGGCAAAAGGGGCAGCAUGGAACACAGCACCAAGGUGCUUGUUGGAAAAUGUAACAAGUGGGCAGUGGAGGAGACAUUGUUAGGAAUGCAGAGGGGAGAGUCAUUAUCUCGAUAGCGUAUCAGAAAUGAAAGGUAAGUGGGGAUAGGCCACAAGGGCCUUAUAACCAAGACCAGUAGUUUUUGAUGCAAUAGCAAGGGAGGAGCCAGUGGAGAGAUGUGCAGAGUGGAGGGACAUGGUUGGAGUGAUGAGGCAGGAACAUGAUCUUUGCCAUAGCAUUUUGGAUGGAAGUAAGUGGUGAAGAUUGCAUUUGUCAAGGACAUGUUGCAGCAGUCGAGACAUGAGAUGAUGAGGGCCUAGGUGAGCGUUUUAGUUAUGUGGAUGGCAAGGCCAGGUCUUAGAGAUGUUGUGCAGGAAGAAGCAGCAAGAUUUCGACUAGCCUGAAUCAGUGAACCUAGACCAAGAUCAGAGUCAAAGAGGACGCCCUGGUUCCAGGCAUGAGAGACAAGCAGGAAGGUGGUGCUGGCCACAGUAACUGAGAGAGGAGGGAGAGGGAAAGGCUUUGGGUGAAGAAAGAAGAGCUCUGUUGUGGGUUAAGCUAAUGGCUGGACAUCCAGGAGGAGAAGUUAGAGAGACAAGCUGAGAUUUCAGUCUGAACAGGAGAGAGGUCCAGAGUGGAGAACUAGAUCUGUGAAUCUUUGGCAUGGAGAUGAUAGUUGAACUCAUUAAAUGCUUAAAUAUCAUUUUUCUGCUUUCCAGCUCUGCUCCUUUAAUACAAAAUUUGAGUCUUGUUCUUCACGUUUGUCAUGCUUUAUGUUUGCAUUCCUUCAUUUGAUGUUUGUCAUGUUUUACUGAAAAUUAAAUGAAUUCUUUUCUCUGACAGGUGAAUAGGGUUUAUGUUAUUUUUGACCUGCCCACUACUGUGUCAAUGAUCAAACUGUGGAAUUAUGCAAAAACUCCCCAAAGGGGAGUGAGAGAAUUUGGUCUUCUUGUAGAUGACUUGCUUGUGUACAAUGGAAUUCUAGACAUGGUG